GGACCCUACCAGAGCUCCUGGGUGGCUUUGUGUGAGGGGACUGAACGCAGACAAACCACAGCCUGCUUCUAAUACCUUCUUUCCCUACCACCUAGUUCCAAAUGGAACCAACAAGUUGAGUGCAUCUCUGUUGGGUGUUUUGUGUUGAGACUGGCUGAAGUGAAGAAUCUUUGACUGACCAUGUUGUGAUGUGUCGACAGACUCAAGGACACAACCACCUCGACCUGGUCAUGUGGCAUGCCUGUGUAUGUGUGUAACAGGAUUCUGAAUGUUAGGUUGUAAUGCUAUUCCUGUAUGGGAGAAAAAAUAAUAUAAACAAAUAAAAAUCUAUUUAAAGC
rnacentral:lncRNA from 1 species